rnacentral:lncRNA from 1 species
UUCACAAAAUGGUUUUAGUUUUACUGGGAGAACCAAAGGAUAGAAAUGGACCCCUGAAAGGUGGAAGUCUGAUCUUCGGUCCGAUCUUCAUGCAUGUGUAGAAGGAUUUAUCAAUUAUUCGAUUUAAAUUACACUAAAGUCUAUGAAUAAAGGCGAAUACAGUGAGCAACUGGGUCAUUCGUCCCACAUCCAAAGAUAUUCAGAAUGGGGGUAGGAAUUCUCCAGUCCCAUUCUUUCUCUAUUACUU